CCCUUAGAUGUUCUGGGCCGCACGCGCGCUACACUGAUGCAUUCAACGAGUCUAAAACCUGGUCUGAUAGGGCUGGGUAAUCUUUUGAAAGUGCAUCGUGAUUGGGAUAGAUGAUUGCAAUUCUUCAUCUUCAACGAGGAAUGCCUAGUAAACGCAAGUCAUCAGCUUGCAUUGAUUACGUCCCUGCCCUUUGUACACACCGCCCGUCGCUCCUACCGAUUGGAUGGUCCGGUGAAGCCUCGGGAUUGUGGUUCUUGCCGCUUUAUUGUGGCGUGACCGCGAGAACUUGUCUAAACCUUAUCAUCUAGAGGAAGGUGAAGUCGUAACA
rnacentral:rRNA from 1 species